AGCUGGUGGCAGCUCUGUGCUGAGAAGUUUCAUCAUUUAUGACACUGGUGUCACAGAUGCCAACUGCAAAAGCUGGCACUCAGCAUCCUUCCACUUCUACAGAGUUCAAAUUAGAACUGUCUUUUUGCCCUCUGUGCAUUUGUCCUGGGGGUCUGCUACUGAGGAAUAAAAAUUCUGUUUCAAUGCUACUAAGCCUGUAUGUGGAAAAGAUUCUUAUUUCAACAAAUGGCUUGUAAUUGGAGGAGGAAGAAGUUGUAACAUUACCUGCCAGAGAGGGUCUGUCUGCUCUGGAAAGAGCUCAAAGUACUUCUGAGCCAGCUGAACGGGGGGCAGUGUCUGCAGGUUCAGG